rnacentral:rRNA from 1 species
GUACACUCCUACGGGAGGCAGCAGUGAGGAAUAUUGGACAAUGGGUGGAAGCCUGAUCCAGCCAUCCCGCGUGCAGGAAGACGGCCCUAUGGGUUGUAAACUGCUUUUAUCUGGGGAUAAACCUACUUACGUGUAAGUAGCUGAAGGUACCAGAAGAAUAAGCACCGGCUAACUCCGUGCCAGCAGCCGCGGUAAUACGGAGGGUGCAAGCGUCAUCCGGAUUUAUUGGGUUUAAAGGGUCCGUAGGCGGACUGAUAAGUCAGUGGUGAAAUCCGACAGCUUAACUGUCGAACUGCCAUUGAUACUGUUAGUCUUGAGUAAGGUUGAAGUGGCUGGAAUAAGUAGUGUAGCGGUGAAAUGCAUAGAUAUUACUUAGAACACCAAUUGCGAAGGCAGGUCACUAAGUCUUAACUGACGCUGAUGGACGAAAGCGUGGGGAGCGAACAGGAUUAGAUACCCCUGUAGUCCCAUGA